CAACUAGGCUGUGAGAGAAAAAAAAACUUUUCCUCUAAAAGCAUAGGAAACGCACGAGCAGAGCUCAUCGUCUUGGGCGUGGCGGUGCUCUGCUCCAUCGAUCCCCACCCAAAUCCAAGCCACGCUCGCCGGCGGGAUCCUCCUCCACCACCACCCUAACUCUUCCCGCCACCGCGGAGUGUCUGGCCGGGGACUCUUGGUGCCGGAGACGGGAGGGGGGCAUCGCCGGCGACCGGAGAGGAGAGGCGAGGGGAGGCUCGCGCUUCGGAAACGGUCGUUGUCGUCGUCCCGGAGCCGUGGACGCGCGCGCGGCGGGGCUAGGGGAGGCUACGGCCAGCGGCCAAUCCGAGUUCGAUUCCCCACAGUGUAAUUGCCAUGGAUGAGCAUUUCAUCCUCCGCGUGCCCCCUUCUGUGGCGGAGCAGAUCGAGCGCCUUAUGAACGAAUCCGCUGCCGGUUCAUCCUCCAACCCCGAGGACGCCUCCCUCAACCUCUCCUUCUCAGAUGAUGGAAGAAGUGGCACAUUUAUGAUUGGUAACCAGAGCUUUCCUGCAUCUCUCUUGGAUCUCCCAACUGUUGUGGAGUCAUAUAAGACAUAUGAUGAUUCAUUUUUAGUUAAAGCUGCUGAUAUUGGUCAGAUGGUAAUGGUAAGAGAAGAUGUUGAUCCUGCUCCUGAAGAAGUUGAAUACAAGCAUGGACUUACUCCUCCAAUGAGGGAUGCACGCAGGCGACGUUAUCGCAGAGAGCCUGACUUGAAUGCAGAGCUUGUUCACCGAGUUGAGAAGGAUCUUAUAAGUAUUAUGCAUGGAGUGUCUGUCAGUAUCCUUUUGGUCCGUGGGAUAUGCAAAAUAUUUCACCUUAUUGCAAUGGAAUAAAUGGCAGUAAUUUGUUUCUUUCUGUACUAUUUGGUUGGUAGUUUUGCACUUCCAUUGUCUCAUCAUCAACUUCCUAAUGCACAAACUGCUUGCCCUUCACUUUAGUAACCAUUAUGUCUAUAUUUACUUCCCUUGUUGAUAAAGAUAAUGUUGUGAAUCUCCUAAGCAUGCCAUUAUAGUGAUUGCGUAUAGAUGUUUCCAAACGUAACCUUGUUAAAAGAUCGACACCGACGUUUCGGUUUUGUAUCAUGAUUGCAUUGUGUUCAUUGGUCAAACCAUCAUAGAAAGGAAAUCUCGCCGUUUGUAUGCCAACCUGUCUACGUAUAAAGUUCUUUAACUUGUUUGUAGAAGGUGGUGAAGGUGGGGGUGGUGAAGGUGGUGACCGCAAGAAAGCUGCACCAGCUCCUGCACCCAAGCCAGACGCUCAAGAGCCUGCUGCAAAUGGCGAAGAAGCUGAGCCUGAGAGGAGUGACUCUGAUGAUUCGGAGAACUGAAGUGGACCAGAAUAGAUAGUGCAGCUGCCGUUGGCCGAGCAAUCCGGUGAAAUAAGCUAUUCAGAUCAAAGAAAGUGUAUUUUUACCAAGCAAGGGCGCUUGUUGUCUUUUUAGGACCUAUUGGCUAUCAUCUGAAUAAUAUUAGGAGUGUGCUACUAUGCAUCAUGGUGGAAGAGGUCAUAAGGGUGAUUGUAACUGCUGCUAGUUCCUGAAUUUUGCACUCCAAUUCUGUUACUUCGAACGACGGAUUGGAUGAGAUAUCACCAUAAUUUUAGUCUGGCCAAUGUGCAAGAAGAUAAAGGGCAGCUCAGGGUGAUAUCCCAAGAUUAUUUGUUUUACGCAAAUGGUCCAUCACUGGUUUUGAUACAACUCUGAUAGAUUUGAUUAUCUUUUGGAAAUAUUCUGAUGUCUGCAAUAGCAGCAUGUGCAUAUAAGUAACCAUUCUCCUGAUUUACCAAUAUGUGGAAUCUCUGUUAUCUCUAUAAGUAAGUUUGUAACAUUGCUACGCGUAUGUUUUUCUUGUAUAUUGAUGGUACUUCUGAGCAUGUUCUCUU
rnacentral:rRNA from 1 species